GUGGCAAGAUUAGAUAAAAUCGAUAAUUCGCACGAGCGUUAAAAAAGCAUUGCGUUAAAACCCAGCGUUGCCCUGAACAUACAAAGUGCGCAUUAAAAAAUCGUUGACGCGUGUGAACAGAUACUUGGGAAUGCAUAUUUUGUUCUA